AAAGUCGUAACAAGGUUUCCGUAGGUGAACCUGCGGAAGGAUCAUUAACACAAAACUCUAACAAACCAAACCGUGAUCAUAUACCAAACCAAAAACACACUGUGGGGAUGAUGGGGAAGAAGGCUCGAAAGGAGAAGUGGGCGGGGAAAGGUGAAGGGAAACUUUCGCUGGACUUUGUUCAUCAUCUAAGUAAGGCUGGAUUUUCUUGAGUCUGCUGCAGGAAACCUUUAUUUAACCCCUUUUAACCAAACAAAAGCUAUACUACUGACGUUGGAUGCUUUGAGGUCGUAAAAAGCCUUGGAGUUGAAUACGAAACGCUGAACAAUUCUUAGCAAUGGAUGUCUAGGCUCUC
rnacentral:misc_RNA from 1 species